CCUAGCCCUUCAGAGGGGGACAACAGUUGGAAACGACUGCUAAUACCGCAUACGAUCUGACCUCGGCAUCGAGGAUGGAUGAAAGGUGGCCUCUAUUUAUAAGCUAUCGCUGAAGGAGGGGAUUGCGUCUGAUUAGCUAGUUGGAGGGGUAACGGCCCACCAAGGCGAUGAUCAGUAGCCGGUCUGAGAGGAUGAACGGCCACAUUGGGACUGGGACACGGCCCAG
rnacentral:rRNA from 1 species